rnacentral:rRNA from 1 species
GGCGGCGUGCUUAACACAUGCAAGUCGUGCGGGAAUAGAGGUCAGAACUGAGAGGUUAAGGUAAGGUAGAGAAAAGGCAUCUGCGAAGCAGAUGCCCUCGAGAUCCGACCUCCGACCUCUGACUUCUGACCUCUAUUCCAGCGGCGGACGGGUGAGUAACGUGUGGAUAACCUACCCGGCAGACCGGGAUAACACCGGGAAACUGGUGCUAAUACCGGAUACGCUCUUUGGGCGGCCUCGCGCAAAGAGGAAAGCGGGCCUCUUAACAAUGCUCGCGUUGCUGGAUGGGUCCGCGUCCCAUUAGCUAGUUGGCGGGGUAAAGGCCCACCAAGGCGACGAUGGGUAGCCGGCCUGAGAGGGUGGCCGGCCACACUGGGACUGAGACACGGCCCAGACUCCUACGGGAGGCAGCAGUGGGGAAUCUUCCGCAAUGGGCGCAAGCCUGACGGAGCGACGCCGCGUGGGGGACGAAGGCCUUCGGGUUGUAAACCCCUUUUCUGAGGGAAGAACGCUUACCUUGUGAACAAUGAGGUAAGGUGACGGUACCUUA